UCAUGGCUUACCAAGGCGACGAUCGGUAGCUGGUCUGAGAGGAUGAUCAGCCACACUGGGAUUGAGAACGGCCCAGACUCCUACGGGGGGCAGCAGUGAGGAAUUUUCGUCAAUGGGGGCAACCCUGAACGAGCAACGCCGCGUGCAGGAUGACGGUCUUCGGAUCGUAAACUGCUUUUCUCGGGGACGAGCAAGGACGGUACCCGAGGAAUCAGCCCCGGCUAACUACGUGCCAGCAGCCGCGGUAAUACGAAGGGGGCUAGCGUUGCUCGGAAUGACUAGGCGUAAAGGGCGGGUAGGCGGAUGGCACAGUCAGAUGUGAAAUACCCCGGGCUUAACCCGGGGCCUGCAGGCGAAACUGUGGUGCUGGAGUAUGGGAGAGGUGCGUGGAAUUCCCGGUGUAGCGGUGAAAUG
rnacentral:rRNA from 1 species